ACCAUAGGACAGAACAAUGAGGAACCUUUUUCUCUUGCAACAAACAGAAAAUAUUUCCGAUGAAACAAGUGCCUGAUGUUUUGUUUCCACAUUUGCUAGAUAUUAUUGCUUUUUAGUCAAGGUUGCUAAAAAAGUAGUGACUAGCAAAAGGAUUUAUUAGUUAUUCAGAAUUUUCUCCAUUACUGUCAACUUUGAUCCUGAUGCAGGAGAAUUCAACAAUAAAUCUUCAUGGAUUGGAACUCUGAGUGCAAUUUGUAAUUGUAUUGCAGAGCGGGUCUUGGU